UCUCGAUUGGUCUAGUGGUAAGGAUACCUGCUUGUCACGAUACAAUCCGCAGGUGGCCGGGGUUCGAUUCCCCGAUCGAGAG
rnacentral:tRNA from 1 species